rnacentral:rRNA from 1 species
AUUGAACGCUGGCGGCAGGCCUAACACAUGCAAGUCGAGCGGAUGAAGGGAGCUUGCUCCUGGAUUCAGCGGCGGACGGGUGAGUAAUGCCUAGGAAUCUGCCUGGUAGUGGGGGAUAACGUCCGGAAACGGGCGCUAAUACCGCAUACGUCCUGAGGGAGAAAGUGGGGGAUCUUCGUACCUCACGCUAUCAGAUGAGCCUAGGUCGGAUUAGCUAGUUGGUGGGGUAAAGGCCUACCAAGGCGACGAUCCGUAACUGGUCUGAGAGGAUGAUCAGUCACACUGGAACUGAGACACGGUCCAGACUCCUACGGGAGGCAGCAGUGGGGAAUAUUGGACAAUGGGCGAAAGCCGGAACCAGACAUGCCGCGUGUGUGAAGAAGGUCUUCGGAUUGUAAAGCACUUUAAGUUGGGAGGAAGGGCAGUAAGUUAAUACCUUGCUGUUUUGACGUUACCAACAGAAUAAGCACCGGCUAACUUCGUG